ACAGCAGUAGCCGCGGGAAUACAGAGGGUGCAAGCGUUAAUCGGAAUUACUGGGCGUAAAGCGCGCGUAGGUGGUUUGUUAAGUUGGAUGUGAAAGCCCCGGGCUCAACCUGGGAACUGCAUCCAAAACUGGCAAGCUAGAGUACGGUAGAGGGUGGUGGAAUUUCCUGUGUAGCGGUGAAAUGCGUAGAUAUAGGAAGGAACACCAGUGGCGAAGGCGACCACCUGGACUGAUACUGACACUGAGGUGCGAAAGCGUGGGGAGCAAACAGGAUUAGAUACCCCUGUAGUCCCUGUCUCUUAUAC
rnacentral:rRNA from 1 species